AAUGAACGCUGGCGGCAUGCCUAACACAUGCAAGUCGAACGAAGAAAACAGCUUGCUGUUUUCUUAGUGGCAAACGGGUGAGUAACGCGUGGGAAUCUACCUAUCUGUGGGGGAUAACUGAGGGAAACUUCAGCUAAUACCGCAUACGCUCGGAAACGAGGAAAGAUUUAUUGCAGAUAGAUGAGCCCGCGUCAGAUUAGCUGGUUGGUGGGGUAAUGGCCUACCAAGGCGACGGUCGGUAGCUGGUCUGAGAGGAUGAUCAGCCACACUGGGACUGAGACACGGCCCAGACUCCUACGGGAGGCAGCAGUGGGGAAUUUUGGACAAUGGGGGCAACCCUGAUCCAGCCAUGCCGCGUGCGGGAAGAAGGCCUUCGGGUUGUAAACCGCUUUUAGCCGGGACGAAAGCCUCGCGGAUAACACCUGCGGGGGUUGACGGUACCGGCGGAAUAAGCACCGGCUAACUACGUGCCAGCAGCCGCCGCGG
rnacentral:rRNA from 1 species